CAGGUUUUUAUCUUACAACAGAAGGGAAUCCUCACAAUCUGCAAGAUACAGCAAGGUACUUUGUAUGACGUGCCUGAGCCAUCAAUUUGCCGGUCCUUUUCUUCCUGAAACCAACAUAGACAACACCAACUGAUUUCCUAGCACGCAAUAGCUUCCCCUCAACUUCUAUUUCUUCCUAGAAAAAUAAAAGAAAUAGUUUACAGCAUGUCAAAUAACUAUUAAAAUAACAUAAGAGUGAAAAGACAAAGGUAUGUUCAAAAUUAAUCAAGCCUUAUGAUAAUAUUAUAGCAAGAAACUGGCCAAAGCUGCCUUUUCGGGGGCAAAAAUACGUUUGGAUUCUUCAGAGCAAUAUUUAGACAACAUGACAAUAACUCUGAUCCUAAACUAAUUCUAGGAACCUCUUAGAGCAAUAUCUGGACAACAUGACAAUAAUUAUGAUCCUAAACUAAUCUUGGAAACAUUUUGUACCCAACAUGCUCCAAUCUAUACUCAGCGCAUCAAAGAAAACAAAAAAUGAAUAACACCCAGUCGUGUAAAUGCAGAGGCACUGAAUUCAACCAUCUUUUCUACUUAGUACACACUUACAUUCCUAUAAUAUUAAAAUGACUGGAAGGUAAGAAGUGGUGGUCUUUUUAUCUUGCCAAUUGAGAUAUUAGCAUACAAACUUCCAAUGAUGCUUCUGAAACACCAAAUUCCUUAUUACAUAUGCAUCAUGCCGCAAUAAAAUCUAGAUGACGGCAAUCUUCACAAAAUGUAGAUGGCACCUGCCUAAACUUGACACCAUCGACCAAAUGUAAUUUCGAUACCAUGGUCAAAACUAAAAAAAACAAGAGAGGAGUAAGCCGCUGCCUAGAAAACUUACCUCGAGGGACAGAGCAUAACAACCCCUGCAAAAUUAUGAAGAAAAAAUUCGUUCCUGUCAAACAAGAGAGGAAAUCAAAAGGAAAUGAAAAAAGAGAUCCUUCUUCUCCGCUAAUCUGAGAGGGAUAAACAGAGGGUAAAUUAACUCACCGAACCAAUCUCUCCUUGACUGGUCUGCUAAGACCUCGGUUGUAGCAAAGGUAUUUGUUCAUGUUCCCCACAGACCACGGUGCAACCACAGCAAGGCAAUGAACAUGAACUGGAAGAUGAAAGUUAGCACCAAAUCAGGUAAUAUUGGAGGAUGUCAGGUCUGCACUUCACAUUUUACAAUUCAUAAGUGCACUCUUUUUUUGUUCAAACAGAAAGUAAUUAAGUAUUAAGUCUCAGCCUGGGCCCCUCUAAUGAAAAAUUCCAUACAACAGCUAAGCUAAUAUCCAUACUCCAAUCGUGAAGUUUGAACAGAAAAUGAAACAGAGGUAACAAUCUCACUUUACCUGUAAAUGGAAUGCAACUAAGGAGAUAAUUUCCGUGGAGCAAAUCGUUCCAUCUUUCGGACAAUUAACACAAUGUAUCUUAGCCAGAAAUUCAUCUACAGAAGUAUCUGAAAUCUUCCAUCAAUAGAAGAAACAAGUUUAAAUAUCCUUGAUCUUGACAUGCCUGCAAAUCGGAAGAACAUCAACGACAUAUAGAGAUGCAUAAAUAACAAGAUCAGGAGGAGAUUACUGUGUGAUGGGGGAGAGAGAGAGGAGCCGAGGGGAAGCCCACCUUGGAAUCAGCCAUUGCUUGAUGCUUGUGCCGCUCCCCAAAAUCUGCCCGUGAUUGCCUGUCCCCGCCGCCGCACACAUGGUGCUAGGCGGACCGUGCACCUUCUCCCUGCGCACCUCCUCGUACCGCACCAUAUGCUCGUUGCUGCCCUUCAGCGUGGACGUGACCCUCGCGUAAGGCACGCGGCCCAUCAAGGUCGAGCUCUUGUACGCGCCACUGUUGUUGGCUGCGCU
rnacentral:lncRNA from 1 species